rnacentral:rRNA from 1 species
GAUCUGCCCUGCACUCUGGGAUAAGCUUGGGAAACUGGGUCUAAUACCGGAUAUGACCGCAUGCCGCAUGGUGUGUGGUGGAAAGAUUUAUCGGUGCAGGAUGGGCCCGCGGCCUAUCAGCUUGUUGGUGGGGUAAUGGCCUACCAAGGCGACGACGGGUAGCCGACCUGAGAGGGUGACCGGCCACACUGGGACUGAGACACGGCCCAGACUCCUACGGGAGGCAGCAGUGGGGAAUAUUGCACAAUGGGCGGAAGCCUGAUGCAGCGACGCCGCGUGAGGGAUGAAGGCCUUCGGGUUGUAAACCUCUUUCAGCAGGGACGAAGCGUGAGUGACGGUACCUGCAGAAGAAGCACCGGCUAACUACGUGCCAGCAGCCGCGGUAAUACGUAGGGUGCGAGCGUUGUCCGGAAUUACUGGGCGUAAAGAGUUCGUAGGCGGUUUGUCGCGUCGUUUGUGAAAACCCGGGGCUCAACUUCGGGCUUGCAGGCGAUACGGGCAGACUUGAGUGUUUCAGGGGAGACUGGAAUUCCUGGUGUAGCGGUGAAAUGCGCAGAUAUCAGGAGGAACACCGGUGGCGAAGGCGGGUCUCUGGGAAACAACUGACGCUGAGGAACGAAAGCGUGGGUAGCAAACAGGAUUAGAUACCCUGGUAGUCCACGCCGUAAACGGUGGGCGCUAGGUGUGGGUUCCUUCCACGGGAUCUGUGCCGUAGCUAACGCAUUAAGC